rnacentral:rRNA from 1 species
ACGCUCGACACCUACGGGAGGCAGCAGUGGGGAAUAUUGCACAAUGGGGGAAACCCUGAUGCAGCGACGCCGCGUGAAGGAUGAAGUAUUUCGGUAUGUAAACUUCUAUCAGCAGGGAAGAAAGUGACGGUACCUGACUAAGAAGCCCCGGCUAACUACGUGCCACAGCCGCGGUAAUCUGAGCGGCUGCAAGGC